rnacentral:rRNA from 1 species
AUGGGUAGACUCAAGGGUAAAUCCAAGAAGCAUUUUGUUGCUCUCUUGGAACAACUUGGUGAAGCCAAUGACGUGAUCGAGUCUCAUGAAGAUACCAUCUCCAAGAUGGAGGGGCAUAGUCGUGACUAUGCCGAUGAGAUUUCGAAUCUUUCCAAUGCUCUUGAGGAAGAGCGUGGUAUUUGUUUGGCUCUUGAGGAGUCACACAACGAUGAUCAUGCUAAGUUAAAGAAAGAUUUUGAUCAUGCUCUCAUGGUUUCUCGCGUGCUAAACUCCGAGAAGGCCAAACUUGGGGUUGAUCUUGCUAGACUCAAAGAGGAGUUUGAUCUACUUGACAAGGCUCACAAGGUCUUGAAGGGUGCUCAUGCUAGCCUCAAAGAGUCUCAUGAUCAACUCCAAGUAAAGCUAACCAAGGAGAAAGCCACCUUUCCUCGUAUGAUGUUAAUUGAUAAUGCAAAUGCUACUAACCCGUGUUGUGAGCAUGUGCAUCUUGUUGAGGAGAAUGCUAAGCUAAAGGUGCUACUUGAGAAAGGUCUUGUGUCUUGCAUACAAGGUGAGAAGAGCCUCAACAACCUCUUGACCAACCAAAAGGGAGUUGUGGCCAAGGAAGGGAUUGGGUACGUGUCCAAGUCCAAGAACGAGAAGAAGAAUGACAAGGCCAAACGACCUCCUCCUCUCAAGCAAACCUUUGUGAGGGAGGGUGAGGGUGCUACUAAGGAGAGGGAGAAAAACUCCAUAAAGGGUAGUGAUGCCAAGAAGGGAAACACUCCCCUUCCCAACAAGGUCGGCGACUUUAACCCUUCUUAUGUGUUGUGCCACGCUAGAGAUGGGUAUGUUUAUGCCAAAUUUGUUGGUUCUCCUUAUGAGUACAUUGAAUGGUCUAUUUGGGUUCCUAAGACCCUUGUUACUAACAUCAAAGGACCCAUUACAAAAUGGGUACCUAAAACCAAGUAUUGA